GGCAAAGAUGAAGAGUGCAUAGAUUUCUGACACCUCUUGUAUGAGAAGAGCCUUCAACAAGCUCUUCCUUGAGCAGAGACAGCAACUCUCUGAGCC